GAUCAGCUCCCCUUCUUUUAAGAUAAUUACAGAAGAUUACGAAAUUGUUGCUUAGUGCUAACCGUAACCAAUCAUUUACUACACAAUAUCCGACUUGAAAAUCCAAUUUAAUUUUGUAAACAAAUCUUGUAAUGUAAUUUUAUAAAAUCACAGCCCAGGGACGCUCCAUCAAAGGCAUUUCUACUUGGCGAGAAUGCAAUGAGGAAUGGGACAAGUGCGGUUAUGGCGUAAUAAGCAUCCUAAACAAAACCGGAGGGAGAAGCUGAAGGAUGACUUUCUGCGACGCAAAACUUUCCUUAUCAAUUUUAAGCACAUCUUUACUUUUUGUGAAGAAUAAGCAAAAAAAUAUUGAGUAAAUUCUGGAAAUGUCACUUUAAAUCAUUUUGUUAGGUAAAUUAUACGAAAACUAAACAAAUAAAUUAAAACUUAUUGGAAAGAGGAAAAGCAGCAGAAGUGUAAGAAAAACAACAAAAAGGUCUACAACUAAAUAAAGUAAGAGUACUUGGAA